UACGGGAGGCAGCAGUGGGGAAUAUUGCACAAUGGGCGCAAGCCUGAUGCAGCCAUGCCGCGUGUAUGAAGAAGGCCUUCGGGUUGUAAAGUACUUUCAGCGGGGAGGAAGGCGGUGAGGUUAAUAACCUUAUCGAUUGACGUUACCCGCAGAAGAAGCACCGGCUAACUCCGUGCCAGCAGCCGCGGUAA
rnacentral:rRNA from 1 species